AGUCUAGCUGCUGCACAGGCUGGCUGGCUGGCUGCUAAGGGCUGCUCCACGCUUUUGCCGGAGGACAGAGACUGACAUGGAACAGGGGAAGGGCCUGGCUGUCCUCAUCCUGGCUAUCAUUCUUCUUCAAGGCACUUUGGCCCAGUCAAUCAAAGGUAGGAGAAAUGGCUUCUUUCUAUACUCAGACUCAGAAUAUUGACGGAAAUUUGGCUUCCUACAACAGUAGUCCUACAGGAGCGAACAGUUUAGAAUGAAUGAAAGGACGGGGAUAGAUAGGUGAUGUCUCUAUUGUCAACCAAAUCAGUGAUCUGACAUAACCUGUUCCGGGCAGCUUGCCUGUAGCUAAGCAUUUAACUGGUCUCUUACAGGAGAAGCAGGACCCUAGUAGCUAGGGACACAUCUCAAACUGUGACCCAUGAACCAGCAGGUAUUGGCGUCACCUGGGAUCCUGACGUUAGUCUCUGUCAAUCCUUCUCUUUAGUUCAUCUAUUCUACCCAAAGUGAUCUCAUCAUCUGGUAUGCUGUUAGCAGUUUCUUACCUGUAUAGUAUCUUCCAAAUAACAUGCCCCAAAAUCCCAAAGUUUUACCCCUACUAAUUACAGCAAUGUCUCUUUUAUUCUUCACCCCCUGAUGCAGAUAUUGGCGUCACCCGAGAGCAUGUUAGUAAUGCAGAAUCUCCCCUCCCCAGAACUACUAAAUAGCACCUGAAAUUUUAACAAGAUCCCCAUGUGAUUCAUGUGCACAUCAAAGUUUGAGAAACACUACUCUAAUGAUCUCCUGGUAUGCAGAAGCAGGGAGAAUUUCAGAGGCAAGAUCCUUAAUAGAACCAUGGCUUUUCUCAUUUCAGGAAACCACUUGGUUAAGGUGUAUGACUAUCAAGAAGAUGGUUCGGUACUUCUGACUUGUGAUGCGGAAGCCAAAAAUAUCACAUGGUUUAAAGAUGGGAAGAUGAUAGGCUUCCUAACUGAAGAUAAAAAAAAAUGGAAUCUGGGAAGUAAUGCCAAGGACCCUCGAGGGAUGUAUCAGUGUAAAGGAUCACAGAACAAGUCAAAACCACUCCAAGUGUAUUACAGAAGUAUGUAAUCCCCUUUGGUCUGUUUGUUGUGAAAUUAAUCAGUAUUUGCUGUUCUGGUGAGCUUUUUAUCUGGGGUGAAAGUGGAAAUAGAUCCUCAACAGUAAUAUUAUCGCCUGUUCUCUUAAUUUCAGCUUGCCUCUUUUAAAAUACUGUAAGAUACUUCCCUCACCCUAUUGAAAAACUACAGCCAGUCCUGUAAAACUUUGUUUACCUUUGGGUGGGCUCCAU
rnacentral:sRNA from 1 species